AAGAGACGUUGCCCUUCGGGGUAUACCUCCCACCCUUUGCUUGUUAUACCUUUGUUGCUUUGGCGGGCCCGUCCUCGGACCACCGGCUUCUGCUGGUCAGUGCCCGCCAGAGGACCUAAAACUCUGUUUGUUAAUAUUGUCUGAGUACUAUAUAAUAGUUA
rnacentral:misc_RNA from 1 species